rnacentral:rRNA from 1 species
UACGGAGGGGGCUAGCGUUGUUCGGAAUUACUGGGCGUAAAGCGCACGUAGGCGGGCUGGACAGUCAGGGGUGAAAUCCCGGGGCUCAACCCCGGAACUGCCUUUGAAACUCCCAGUCUUGAGGUCGCGAGAGGUGAGUGGAAUUCCGAGUGUAGAGGUGAAAUUCGUAGAUAUUCGGAGGAACACCAGUGGCGAAGGCGGCUCACUGGCGCGACACUGACGCUGAGGUGCGAAAGCGUGGGGAGCAAACAGG